UUCCGCUUUUGCUUUAGCUCUUUUUGUGUUCUUUUCAAUUGUCCUCCUGGAAAUUGCUGCUAUCAACCAUGAAACCAAUUUGAUCAGAAGCCGAAAACCUAGAAAUAUAAUGGCAGAUUUGUUACUUAUGGACUAUAUGGCUUCUAGACAUAGUGAUAAACUUGGAUAUGGUCUAAAUAUAACUCAAUACGGAAGGUAGCACCUAAAUUCGUUACCUGGUUUAAUUCCAUUCCGGAAAACUUGAAAAGCAGUUCAGCCUUGGAUUCAGAAUGUGAUAAUAGUAUUUAUAAAUAUUGCUGAUGUAAUAAAAUGCAGAAAUUUUGUCAA